rnacentral:rRNA from 1 species
AGUGAACGCUGACGGUAGGCCUAACACAUGCAAGUCGAACGGCAGCACAGUAAGAGCUUGCUCUUACGGGUGGCGAGUGGCGGACGGGUGAGGAAUACAUCGGAAUCUACUUUUUCGUGGGGGAUAACGUAGGGAAACUUACGCUAAUACCGCAUACGACCUACGGGUGAAAGCAGGGGAUCUUUGGACCUUGCGCGAUUGAAUGAGCCGAUGUCGGAUUAGCUAGUUGGCGGGGUAAAGGCCCACCAAGGCGACGAUCCGUAGCUGGUCUGAGAGGAUGAUCAGCCACACUGGAACUGAGACACGGUCCAGACUCCUACGGGAGGCAGCAGUGGGGAAUAUUGGACAAUGGGCGCAAGCCUGAUCCAGCCAUACCGCGUGGGUGAAGAAGGCCUUCGGGUUGUAAAGCCCUUUUGUUGGGAAAGAAAAGCAGCAGGUUAAUACCCCGCUGUUCUGACGGUACCCAAAGAAUAAGCACCGGCUAACUUCGUG